rnacentral:rRNA from 1 species
AUUGAACGCUGGCGGCAUGCCUUACACAUGCAAGUCGAACGGUAACGCGGGGCAACCUGGCGACGAGUGGCGAACGGGUGAGUAAUACAUCGGAACGUGCCCAGUAGUGGGGGAUAGCCCGGCGAAAGCCGGAUCAAUACCGCAUACGACCUACGGGUGAAAGCGGGGGAUCGCAAGACCUCGCGCUAUUGGAGCGGCCGAUGUCAGAUUAGCUAGUUGGUGGGGUAAAAGCCUACCAAGGCGACGAUCUGUAGCUGGUCUGAGAGGACGACCAGCCACACUGGGACUGAGACACGGCCCAGACUCCUACGGGAGGCAGCAGUGGGGAAUUUUGGACAAUGGGGGCAACCCUGAUCCAGCCAUGCCGCGUGCGGGAAGAAGGCCUUCGGGUUGUAAACCGCUUUUGUCGGGGAAGAAACGGUCUGCGCUAAUACCGCGGACUAAUGACGGUACCCGAAGAAUAAGCACCGGCUAACUACGUGCCAGCCGCCGCAGUAACAC